UUCUGGUCCUGAAGGGCAUCACUAUAGUUUGGUGUUCCCUGCUUCAACUCACAAGCUAAUCAUCAAGUUCAGCUGGUGCGUUGGAGCAGCCAAAUCACUCAUUUGUGCUGGCCUCAAGGCAGUCCAGGACCAGAACUGAUUGCCUACUGGUCAACAAACUAUCUUUUACGAGCCUGGCUGUCUUUUCCAGCUAUCGCUCUGGAAUUUUGUGUGACUUCUGCACUCCUGAAGGCUCAUAAGCUUCUCCUGGUCCUCAUUCAAUGCUGUCUGCAUUUCAUCUUCAUCACUGCUAAGAUGAAGAGCUUCUGCUUCAGAUAAAUUGUAGCUAGUUUUGACUCUUCUGUAAAAUCUCUCUUUUCAUAUUGGCAUCUCGCUAGGAAAAUCUAAAAACAUUCAAACUUUCAGCAACAAAAAAGUCUAAUUGAAGGAGCGCAGUCUCUGCAUCUAAUACACAGUCCCUAAAAUGCUGGGACAGUAUGUGAAAUGCUUAUAUAAACAGAAAACACUGUAUGCUUUACCUUGUGAACUCUAUUAUUUUUUGUGAAUAUAUGUUUAAUCCAAA